GCUUCUGUGGUUCAGGAAAGGCUGAUGAAGAAGGCUACCUUCAUCAUUGGGGUAGUGCGUCUGGCUGUUAACCAGAAGGUUGGUGGUUUGAGUCCAGCCAGGGGCA